rnacentral:rRNA from 1 species
GGGUAACCUACCCUGUACACACGGAUAACAUACCGAAAGGUAUGCUAAUACGGGAUAACAUAUUUGAGAGGCAUCCCUUAAAUAUCAAAGGUGAGCCAGUACAGGAUGGACCCGCGUCUGAUUAGCUCGUUGGUAAGGUAACGGCUUACCAAGGCGACGAUCAGUAGCCGACCUGAGAGGGUGAUCGGCCACAUUGGAACUGA